AAGAAUUAAACAUCAAAUCUUCCCUCAGGGACUCCAGGUAAGAGCCCAGGCCAAAGGACACCUUGAUUUUGACCUUGUCAGACCUGGAAUUGAAAAACCAGCUGCACCCUUCUAGAAUUCUUACUUACAAAACUGAAGAUGUUACAGGACAAAAUGAUUUCACUGGGAGCUGAGUUUUGCCAGAUUUGGGGAAAUACUGAUGCAGAACAUCAUUUAUUGAAGGCUGAUACUUAUGGGUAGAAGAGUCAAAGUGCGAAUAUAUCCACACUUCUCUAUGGAUUCUGCAGAAAGAUAUGCUUGGGUCGUGACUCAGGUGAAUUUACUAUGAAACUUUGUCUUUGGCAAAGCAUCCCAUUCUUGGCUCUUCCAUAUAUAUAUAUGGUAAGUUUGGGAGUGGCCUUGCUAGUAAGGAAUAAAUUAUUUACUUGGUUCUAGCUAUUUACAAAGUUGCUGGUGACUAAUUGCUGGAAAGAAGCUGUGAUGUUAUGUGGCCCCUCCAUUUUAUGUCCCCUCCCUUUAGUUCUGUAGGAAAUUGAGUUCAGGAAAGCUACUAGGAAUAAAAAUCUUAGUUUUUA
rnacentral:lncRNA from 1 species